CUUUUAGGAAAUUUCUUUUUAACUUAUUAAUUGUGUUGUUUAUAUCAGGUUCACCUGAAAAAGUUGCGAAGGCUGUUGCCCUAAAAAAAACACUUCAAGUUAGCAAUCUCAGUCCCCUUCUUAUGGCAGACCAGCUGAAACAACUUUUUAGCUACUGUGGUACUGUUGUUGAAUGCAGCAUUACGGAUUCAAAGCAUUUUGCUUACAUUGAAUACUCAAAGUCGGAAGAAGCUACAACCGCUUUGGCUCUUGAAAUUCAUUUGAACGAUCGUAAACUUUCUUGGCAAAAGACACAAGUCCUAUAGGAUUUUCAUCCUCUGUCACAAAAAUUCAGUAGUUAGUCCCGCAAGACUCUUUCAGUAAUUCAGUAGGGAGGAGAGAGAUACAUUCGGCCCGAUACGCAUCCCAUCCGACAAGCUAUUGAGGUUAGUGAGAGUGGCAAUCGGCCUCAAACACGCUCUUCAAGUUGCAGAGAAAACAGAUUUUCAAAAAAAAAAAAAAAAGUGCUUCUUCGAAGAGAAGGAAAAAAAGAAGGAUGGAGAGCAAGUUCCUAGCAUUCGCUUGCUUUCACAGCGAGAUCUCGAGCUCUCGAGAUCUCUCCCCCAGGCCUCAUUACCCCUCCAUGCCUAAAUACCCCAAAGGAUUUGAAGAUUUGGAACGCUCCCAGGUGAAAACAGCUCUCCUCUGUCAUUGGAAUGACUUGUUCUGCUUGCACUGGAUCUGUCGAGAAGGCCAUCAAAUGGCUCCCAAGCAUCGACAACGCUGCCAUUGAUGUCUUGAAUAACCGCGCUCGCGUCCUCUUCUACCCAAAUUUCGUUAAUGUAAGUUUAUUGCUGAGAUUGGGUCUCUUCCAUUUGGUUUCCUUUAAGUUAGAUCGUCUAAUGUUUCUCUUGUCCAUAGACCAUUUCCCAUAAAUCAUACUGAUGAUCCUCACUGUCUGGUUUCAAUCAUUGAAUAUGGGCUGCAGACCAUUUUCUCUUUCAAACAGUUAUGCCCACGAUCUGGAUGAGAUGGCCCAGUUUCUGUUAUUUCUUGAGUAAAUGAUUUAUUAUUAUUUGAUUAGCU